rnacentral:tRNA from 1 species
GUAGGUAUAGCUUAGUGGUAGAGCGCAAGCUUAGCAUGGACCAGGUCCUGGGUUCAAUCCCCAGUACCGCCA